rnacentral:lncRNA from 1 species
CCACGAAAUGGGACAUGCAGAGAUGUACUGUUUUAAUCAGGUAGUCAGGAUCUGUCUUCUACUCAUAUGGUGAGACAUGAGGACAUAGAAAUGACAGUCACGAAGGGAGUUUGGCAGGGCAUGCCGCACAGGGCCACGGAAGAAGCACCGGGGCCUUCCAGGAGGCAGAGGGAGAGGUGGGGAGUCUGUGAGCAAGAGGCUUCGCUCUUGCAAAGUUCCAGGCCUGGGGGAAGCCGGUGAGGCAGGGCAAGAAGGCUUAGGAUGGGCUAGUUGGAAUGAUUCCAGUGGGCUCUGGGCAUGGGAUUUGUCCCGAGCUGUCAGUACCUGGUACUGGAGUAAUGAAGGCAGGUGUCUACUGGCCAGGAGUGUGAGAGCCUGAAGAAAGGAAGUGGCUGGGAGGAGUGGCCUCUAGAUUUGGUUAGUGUUUGAGGAGAGCACUCCAAGGUGAGCUGUUGCUAUCUAUCAAAAUUGGCUACCUCUGGGAGGGGUAGUCCCUGUAGGGCGGAAAGGUCAGGAUGCCAAAGCUGCAGAACUGCAAAACGUAAAAGACGUGGUUGGUGCGUAUACGGAGACACGACACGACACUCGUGCUCACACAGACACACGUGAAGAGCUGGGUUCAAUCUGCCUCCUGUUCCUGUUAGUAGUACUUAGAUCACUUCCCCCGAAGCAUGUCUUAUUAUACAAUAGUGCUCUUUAAUUGCAAGAACACUUGGGAAAUUGUAGGGCUGAAGUCAAACAAAUCCGAGUGUUAUAAUUCUGCGUUCUGCAUAUGUUCUGUCUUUACAUUCUGCUUGGAGAGCGUAAGAACGCAACAGACAGAGGAGGAGGCUCGCGGGCGGAUGUCGCCUGGGCAGAGCCAGAAGGAACCGCAGGGAGGGAAGCCCGGUCGGCGUCACCCCCGCGGCGCAGGGAAGCCCGGCACGGGAUGCUGCCCGGGUCUGGACGUUUGGAAGCAGGUGUUCCCCGUGACAAUCCCGCUUCCUGCUCCUCAUUCGGAGGUGCCCCGACCGGAUGGCAGAGGCCCGUAACAGCUGAUGCUUACCAGUGCCAAGCAUGUGUUCACUUGAUCCUCACAACCACCCGUCCGACAAGUCUUGCUGUCAUCAUCAUCAUCGUCAUCAUCAACGACGUUCUACAGAAAAGAGAACUGAGGCACAGGGAGGCAAACUAACCAGCCUGAGGGGACCCAGCAGGCAGGGAGAGGGCUGGGUCUAAAGCUGGGCGGCGGGCUCCAGAGGCCUAGUCCUCACCGUGUGCAAUCUCUCUGCUUUCUCCACAAAGCCUACUCCCCUUCCCCGACUCCAAGGACUGUGGGCAGAGCCCUGGGAAAACCCAGGCAGAAGGGAAUGCACUUUAUUUUGUGUUCACCCACAGAGGCCUCAAUGUCUCGGGGACGCCAUGAGUUCCCUUUAACAGUAGUUGUUGGGAGCCACGUCGUUUCUCCAAGGGAAAUCUUUUGAUUUUGCAACGAAUAAAAGGGUGUGUUCAAAAAAGAUUUCA